GGGGAGGAUAAAGAAGUGAGGAAAGGAGAUGCCUGUCCUAAAAUUCCAGCCUUUCCCACCCCACCAAUGAAAAUAUCAAAGAAUGGUUCGCCCAGGUCUGUUGGCCGUGACAGGUCAACUAGUGGUGACUUAACUUUUACUUUUUAAGAAUAUCAAAUCAGCAUGCAUGUAACUAACACUUGAUAAUGACUGACUGAGGUUUUGCAUCUGCGUUGCUUAGGUACAUGUAGGUCUAUGGGCCAUGACAGGCCAUCUAGUCGUGAGUAUAGUCUUUCAAUGCAAAAUAUUGCAGCCCAGGCAGGUCACUACUAUUGUUCAUGACUGACUGAUGUUUCUGAAUAUGUGUCGCUUAGGUACAUCUAGGUCUGUGGGCCGUGACAGGUCAA